CCUACGGGGGGCAGCAGUGGGGAAUAUUGGACAAUGGGGGCAACCCUGAUCCAGCCAUGCCGCGUGUGUGAAGAACGCCCUCGGGUUGUAAAGCACUUUCAGUGAGGAAGAACGCCUGGUGGUUAAUACCCAUCAGGAAAGACAUCACUCACAGAAGAAGCACCGGCUAACUCCGUGCCAGCAGCCGCGGUAAUACGGAGGGUGCGAGCGUUAAUCGGAAUUACUGGGCGUAAAGCGCGCGUAGGUGGCUUGAUAAGCCGGUUGUGAAAGCCCCGGGCUCAACCUGGGAACGGCAUCCGGAACUGUCAAGCUAGAGUGCAGGAGAGGAAGGUAGAAUUCCCGGUGUAGCGGUGAAAUGCGUAGAGAUCGGGAGGAAUACCAGUGGCGAAGGCGGCCUUCUGGACUGACACUGACACUGAGGUGCGAAAGCGUGGGUAGCAAACAGGAUUAGAUACCCUAGUAGUC
rnacentral:rRNA from 1 species